rnacentral:rRNA from 1 species
UACGGAGGGUGCAAGCGUUAUCCGGAUUCACUGGGUUUAAAGGGUGCGUAGGCGGGUUGGUAAGUCAGUGGUGAAAUCUUCAAGCUUAACUUGGAAACUGCCGUUGAUACUAUCAAUCUUGAAUGUUGUGGAGGUAAGCGGAAUAUGUCAUGUAGCGGUGAAAUGCUUAGAUAUGACAUAGAACACCGAUAGCGAAGGCAGCUUGCUACACAAAUAUUGACGCUGAGGCACGAAAGCGUGGGGAUCAAACAGG